GCGCUCACAACGGUCUUUAGUCAUGGUUAAACAAAUUAAACCACGGCCAUGAGUUGCCAUAAAAUUGAUUGCCUCAGGCGUUACCUUUUCGGCCGCCAUGAUCA
rfam:Vibrio caribbenthicus ATCC BAA-2122 VIBC2010_49, whole genome shotgun sequence.